rnacentral:lncRNA from 1 species
GUGUGGUAUUGCACUUUAUUCUUUUUUGUUAUUCAUUAGUAUGAUUAUUAUCAGUGGUUGUGAUAUAUGGGUGUUAACGGAAGAAGUAAUAUAAUUUCAGUCGGUUGAUUUUAUGAAUUAGAAUGAAAUUAUUUUCUUCUGAAUUGUCUGCCCAUAGAUGGCGUUUAGGUUAAGUGUUUUGUGUGAUUUGGCGGUUAUAUCAUUCGGCACGACAGGGUCUACUCGAUAGGUCACGUUAAUUUUUACAUCCAUG